CAAGUGUCCUGUUGAGUAUUUUUUGAAACUUUGGUAUAGUAAAUUAGUGAUAUAAUUUCAGUUGUUUAUAUAUUAUUAGUCAUUGAGAGUCUUUUUUUUUUUCUAGGCAUGAAGAAAGGGUAUUGCUCAUCUAGGUGAUGAUAAAUUCAUUUGUGCCUCCCCGCCCCCACCCAGAAUACUGACUGCUCCCUAUGUAGAGUCUUAAUCCAUCUUAGACAUUGAUUUUCAUGGACUACUUCAUACAAUAGUGAUCUGGAACCCUUGAAUGGUUACCAUCGUCCACUUAAUUGCCUAAGACAAGACACAAGACAUGGGAGUCCAUUGAAAGUACCAAAGAUGUUAAAAAAAAGAGAGAAAUAAAGAAAAUCUUAAAGAGGAAAAAUGAUAGUAUUGCCAUAUGAGAAAUGAAUACUCAAAUAUGUGAAGCACAGAUGACCAAACUGAAGCAAAAACUUCUCAGAAUGGAGCCUCUUCAGAAGACUUCCCCUCUGAGGAGCCUCCUUGACAAGUCCUCUGCUCAUUCCUCUGUGUUUCCCAAUGAACCUGUGCCUCCCUCUGCUGAAGCAAAUAGCAGUCUGCUAUGUCUCUCCUGUGAGACAGUAGGUGCAUUGUCUCUCACACCUUCUUUCUCUAUCUGCAGAGAUUAUCCCUGGUUUGAUACAUAAGAUGUGCUUACAAAGUGUUACACAAAUGAAGAGUUUAAUUUCUCUGAGGUUAAGGUUUUCCAUCUCUAAAAUGGGAAUACUAAUAAUAUAUGAUAUUGGGGUUUCCAAGAACCUUCUUUAGAAAAGAGGCUGGCCCUUCCCUCUUUAAUAAUAACAGCAAUAGGUUUUGUUAUUGAGUACCUAUUAUAUGUGCCAAAUGCCAAAUGCACUUUUAUUGUAUUAUCAUUAUCUCUUUUAUUAUCUCGUUUGUCUUAUGCCCUGUGUUAGUCAGCUUUCUAUAGCUGUGACAAGAUACUUGAGAUAAUCAAUUUAAAAGGAGGAAAGAUUUAUUUUGCCUUGUGUUUCAGAGGUUUCGGGUUAUGGUCACUUGGCUCAUUUGUUUUUGGGCCCAUGGUGGCGCAGUGCAAUCACUGUGGAAGCAUACAGUGGAACAAAGCUGCUCACCUCAUGGUAGCCUGGAAACAAAAACAGAAGCGGCUGUUGGCCGCAUGUACCUUCCUAAGGCAUACCCUUAUGAUCCAACAUCCUCCCACUCAGCUCUACAUCUUGAAGGUUUCACUACUUCCCUCUAGUGUCACAGGCUGGCAACCAGGUCUUUACAUGUGUUUUUCUGGGGACAUCAAAACCAUUGUUUCUCUUGUGUGAGAAUUCCAAACUAUAUGAAUAAGGAGAAAAAUGGAGGAUAGAUAUUAGGAAGUGGGAAGAACUUGUUCAAAAAGAAAGGGGAACAGGAGAUGGGAGAGAGGAAAGGAAAGGAGAUUUAAAGAAAAAAAUAAUUGAAAAAAAGGAAAUAGAGCUUUUGUAAAUGGAGAGGAAAAAGAUUAGAGGGAGAGGAGGGCAGGGGAAAAAAAAGAAUUAAGAUGUGUUAUAUAUGUGUAAAUCCCCCAUAAUGAGUAGGGUCAUUCUGUAUUGCAAAUAUGUACUAAUAAAAAUAUACACCCUUAUAGGUGCUGUUAUUCCCAUUUUGUAGAUUCUUGGAGAAGUGAAGAAACAGUCCCAAACCAAUAGCAAGCAUGUUUGUGGCAGAGCUUGGACUUGAAUUCUAAGUGGUUAAUUUUUCUCCAGAACUUAGCCACCAUGCACUUAAUGUUUCUAUAGGAUGCUCAGUUUGCUUUGUCAUCAACAGGUCUCCUCAUGGAUACCCUGGCUGUACCAUUAUAGUCUCUAAAAUAUUGACCUUGAAAGUUACUGGUCAGACCCAGUCCCUAACACAUUGCUUGGCACGUGGAAAGUGCAUACUCAACAUAAAAUUGUUUUAUGAAAUAGUGAAUUAGCUUUUAAUGAAAAGCUUAUAGAUAUUAGUAAUCUGUGAAUUAAACCAAGAGACUUUAA
rnacentral:lncRNA from 1 species